rnacentral:lncRNA from 1 species
UGAAUUUUUUUGUUUUUUGCUUUUUUUGUAACCCAUGAUAGAGUUUUUUGUAAUCCAUGAUUGAAUUUUUUGUAAUCCAUGAUCGAACUGUUUUUUUCUUUUUUUGUAAUCCACGAUUGAAUUUUUUGUUUUUUUUUGUUUGUUUUUUUUUUGUAAUCCAUGAUCGAAUUUUAUGUAAUCCAUAAUCGAAUUUUAUGUAAUCCAUGAUCGAAUUUUAUGUAAUCCAUGAU